rnacentral:piRNA from 1 species
CAUCUGAUAAAGAAAUUGUUGCU